rnacentral:rRNA from 1 species
CAGGCUUAACACAUGCAAGUCGAGGGGCAGCAUGGUCUUAGCUUGCUAAGACUGAUGGCGACCGGCGCACGGGUGAGUAACACGUAUCCAACCUGCCGUCUACUCUUGGACAGCCUUCUGAAAGGAAGAUUAAUACAAGAUGGCAUCAUGAGUCCGCAUGUUCACAUGAUUAAAGGUAUUCCGGUGGACGAUGGGGAUGCGUUCCAUUAGAUAGUAGGCGGGGUAACGGCCCACCUAGUCUUCGAUGGAUAGGGGUUCUGAGAGGAAGGUCCCCCACAUUGGAACUGAGACACGGUCCAAACUCCUACGGGAGGCAGCAGUGAGGAAUAUUGGUCAAUGGGCGAGAGCCUGAACCAGCCAAGUAGCGUGAAGGAUGACUGCCCUAUGGGUUGUAAACUUCUUUUAUAAAGGAAUAAAGUCGGGUAUGGAUACCCGUUUGCAUGUACUUUAUGAAUAAGGAUCGGCUAACUCCGUGCCAGCAGCCGCGGUAAUACGGAGGAUCCGAGCGUUAUCCGGAUUUAUUGGGUUUAAAGGGAGCGUAGAUGGAUGUUUAAGUCAGUUGUGAAAGUUUGCGGCUCAACCGUAAAAUUGCAGUUGAUACUGGAUAUCUUGAGUGCAGUUGAGGCAGGCGGAAUUCGUGGUGUAGCGGUGAAAUGCUUAGAUAUCACGAAGAACUCCGAUUGCGAAGGCAGCCUGCUAAGCUGCAACUGACAUUGAGGCUCGAAAGUGUGGGUAUCAAACAGGAUUAGAUACCCUGGUAGUCCACACGGUAAACGAUGAAUACUCGCUGUUUGCGAUAUACUGCAAGCGGCCAAGCGAAAGCGUUAAGUAUUCCACCUGGGGAGUACGCCGGCAACGGUGAAACUCAAAGGAAUUGACGGGGGCCCGCACAAGCGGAGGAGCAUGUGGUUUAAUUCGAUGAUACGCGAGGAACCUUACCCGGGCUUAAAUUGCAGAUGAAUUACGGUGAAAGCCGUAAGCCGCAAGGCAUCUGUGAAGGUGCUGCAUGGUUGUCGUCAGCUCGUGCCGUGAGGUGUCGGCUUAAGUGCCAUAACGAGCGCAACCCUUGUUGUCAGUUACUAACAGGUUCCGCUGAGGACUCUGACAAGACUGCCAUCGUAAGAUGUGAGGAAGGUGGGGAUGACGUCAAAUCAGCACGGCCCUUACGUCCGGGGCUACACACGUGUUACAAUGGGGGGUACAGAGGGCCGCUACCACGCGAGUGGAUGCCAAUCCCCAAAACCUCUCUCAGUUCGGACUGGAGUCUGCAACCCGACUCCACGAAGCUGGAUUCGCUAGUAAUCGCGCAUCAGCCACGGCGCGGUGAAUACGUUCCCGGGCCUUGUACACACCGCCCGUCAAGCCAUGGGAGCCGGGGGUACCUGAAGUGCGUAACCGCGAGGAGCGCCCUAGGGUAAAACUGGUGACUGGGGCUAAGU